rnacentral:lncRNA from 1 species
UCUUAAUGUAAAAAAAAUGCAUAUUCUUCAACAGCUCAUUGAUAUAUGCAAACGGUUAAAAAGUGAGAUUAAUUGACAACGCAGCAUAUGAGUAAUUCAGAAAAGGCAAAAGUGGAGUUGGAGGGUGGGCAUAAAUGAAUUGGGUCCCAAGUGCCCCAAAUCAAGGGGUACAAAAACAAACGACGAAUUCCCAUUUGUUGUCGUGACCAAAAGAGUGGGAAACAAAGUUGAUUUGUCAUUGAGGGGCAUGUGAACCUGCACAUAAUACAUUUAAAAAAUAAUAAAGAGCAAAGCCAUGUGGAUCCAUGCUUUAACGUUAUUCCCAUGCAUCAACAUGUGAAUAUUGGCUCCAACAUUUGUAAGCCACAAUAAUAUUAUGAGGAAGAAAUAAAUAAUAAUAAAAUGAUACUAACCCUACCACCUUCUUCUUCUUCUUCUUCUUCUUCUUCUUCGUGUUCUUGUUGCAGAUUUUACAGGGCAAUGCACGAUGAUUUUCUUUUCCUUUCCAUUGUGGGGACCUAUUUGCAUGCACGCGAGCAUUGCGAUAUUGGGCUGAAAAUGCUUGUCUAAAUCGAGUGGUCAAACGAUGUUACGUUCCACCGUCCAUGCUUCUAACGUAAUCUCCAAUACUAUUUCAUGUCUCCAUCUUUCUUCAGUCAAAAAGAGGAUAUUGACUCAUAAUUCAUCAACAGUUGCUUCCACUCCAAUUUUCACUCCCCAUCUAAGAAAUUUUUACGGUGAUUUUUAGUGUACAUUCUCUCUCUCUCUCUUUUUGGAUUUUUAUCAUGUGUAUUUGUUUGCGGAUAAAAUGUGGUGUGUUUUGAGUUCUUCUGUAUGUACUAUAAAAAUUAUUUUUUCUUUCA